rnacentral:rRNA from 1 species
CAGCCGUAAACAAUGUGCGUUAGGUGUGUCGGUAACCACGCGUUACUGAUGCGCCGAAGAGAAAUCGUGAAACGCACCACCUGGGAAGUACGGUCGCAAGGCUGAAACUUAAAGGAAUUGGCGGGGGGAGCACCACAACAGGUGGAGCCUGCGGUUUAAUUGGAUUCAACGCCGGACAUCUCACCGGAUAAGACAGCUGAAUGAUUGUCAAUCUGAAGGUUUUACAUGACUAGCUGAGAGGAGGUGCAUGGCGUAGUCGUG